GUGGGUUUUAAAUCUCUUUUGGGCCAAGCCUAUCUAGUUUUGUGAAGCCCAACCGUUGGUUUGCAGCCCAGCCCCCUUUUCCCCUUAAAUGGCAUCGUUUUUUGCCAGCCUUAAGGCUUUAAUCCUUUUUCUUUCCCCUGCCGCGCCACUGCUUCUUCUUCCUCUUCCUAUUUUCAUUUUUUCCUGUCUUUUUCCUCUGCAAAUCAAUAGGCGCAGCCCCUUUCUCUUCUUCUGGUAUGGUUUUUCUUUUCCAUUUUCUCUCUUUGAUCUUUUGCUCUCUUCUUCUACUACGAAACCGUGCCUCCUUUUCUUUUUUCUAGUUUUAUUUUUCAUCUAGUUUUCUUCUCCCUGCAAAUCAGCCCAUGGUGCUAUUCCUUGCUCUGUUCUAUCUCUUUCCCUUGUCCUUUGGUAUUCCAAAUUUAGGUUGAGAAACCAUUUGCAUUUCGAGCAUUUCUCCCCCCAACCCAUGCUCUGUUUUAAGCCAAACUCGUGCCCUAUAUUCUUCUCCAAAUCCGUGUGUCAUGCAUUCUGUUGUGUUCUAUUUUUGGCCUUAACCCGUGCCCCUGUUUUGGUCCAAGCUGUGAGCUCCAUUUUUGGUUUUGCUUGGUGGUGUGUUCUGUUGCAGUGAUCGCCAUUGUCGAGCGACUAGCCUCUUCUUUCAAUCUGGUUAAUCAAUCCACCUUUCCUUUAAUUUUUGCUUCAAAUUCCCUCGAUUCCGAGUCCUAUUUUCAGUCUCAAAACAGUGCUUGUUGGUGAAUUUACUUCAAGCUCGCUUUUGGCGUUAAUCAAGUGCUUGUGCGAUCUUCCAAAGUUUUACCUUUUCCUCAUUUCUGUUUAGUUGUGCUGGACAUUGGGUUUGAGGAGUGUGGAUUUUUGGAUCAGAUUGGAGGUGGGGCAUAUUUGUGGAGUUUUGUUGUGAUUGGGUAUUUUACUUUGUUAAAUAUUGUGUCAUAACAUUCAUUUUUAUGUUUCAUGCAUUUUCAUGGGUUAAGGACGAAAACUGAGUUUUCAUAUUAAGAAAUGAUUUUUGGGUGCGUGUGUAUCACGACCCCAAGUCAAAAUAGGGCAUUAUCUAGAUAGAGCUCUUAUGGUCACUUAGAAGCGGAGAAAACUAAGUGACGUCUCCUGAGUUAUCGCUGGGCGACAACGAGAUCGAAUGAGAUAGUAAUGCUCUUGUGCAGACUCCGCAGCCCCUCUGCUGGUGAGGACUAGAGAGUGCUUGAUCACAAAUGUGCUGGGCACAGAGCUGGAUAUCGCUCUUUACAAAGUCACACUUACGAUCAUUACCCUUGGUGUGACGAAGGAAGCCAAGGUGUGUGGGUAGUUCUUAUGGGAGAUCAUGGUACAUACGGGAUAAUUGGAUAUAUGGGCCAUUUUAUGAAAAAAUGUUAGUUUUUUAUAAAUAAAUACUUGGACCAUUUUCUGAAAAAAUGGUGAUCUUACACUUGGGCCGUUUUCUAGAAAAAUAGCAGUUGUUUCUUUAAUGGACUCGUUUUGGACCAAAUGGAAUUUUUUACGUGCAUUGGAAAAAUGGUCAUUUUCGGAGAAAAUUAUGGUUUUGAUCUCAUGCAUGUUUUAGCAUGUGCAUCCAUACAUGUUGGUUGUCUAAAUAUGUUUUUAUCUCUUGGAUUGUUUAGUUGGUUACUUACUGAGACUCAUAAUCUCACGUGAUAAUUAUACUACAUAGUUCUAUUUUAUAGAAUUGUAGAUUUUGAUGCAGAUGAGAACAUCGAGCAUGAAGUUUCAGCUCCGCAAGAGGAGUGACUUGGAGUCGCUUGUUGGUUUUGGGAUUUAUUUUUCCUUUUUGUUUGUGUGUUUAGGUUUUGUAUUAUAUUUUGCUGAAUAAGUGUAUAACCUUUUAAAAGGCUUUUAUUUUGGUAUAUUUGUAUUUAAAAUUCUGGUAUUUAAUUGACUUCUUUUAUUUAUCCGCUA